AUCAGCUGCAGAUAACAAAAAAAAAACAUUAGACGUGCAUGAGCAGGCAGACCUAAUUAGCUGAGCCCAGAUUCGAUUUCCUGGCUAACGAGAUCACUGAAGAUGAAGCCAAGACCAUUAGUGUCACUUACUCAUUUUGCCACUAGAUGGUGCAAGCCCAGGUGAAUCAAACUGGGUCAUGUGACAAAGGUCGCUCGUUCAGAUAAGAUUUAUUAGCGGCCUGGCUAAUAAGUGCUAGCAUACCUUGAUAGCGAGCUAAUAAAUGUUCACCAUGUGUGCAA